AACGAACGCUGGCGGCAUGCCUAACACAUGCAAGUCGAACGAGAUCUUCGGAUCUAGUGGCGCACGGGUGCGUAACGCGUGGGAAUCUGCCCUUUGGUACGGAAUAACUCAGGGAAACUUGUGCUAAUACCGUAUGAUGUCUUCGGACCAAAGAUUUAUCGCCAAAGGAUGAGCCCGCGUAGGAUUAGCUAGUUGGUGAGGUAAAGGCUCACCAAGGCGACGAUCCUUAGCUGGUCUGAGAGGAUGAUCAGCCACACUGGGACUGAGACACGGCCCAGACUCCUACAGGAGGCAGCAGUGGGGAAUAUUGGACAAUGGGCGCAAGCCUGAUCCAGCAAUGCCGCGUGAGUGACGAAGGCCUUAGGGUUGUAAAGCUCUUUUACCCGGGAAGAUAAUGACUGUACCGGGAGAAUAAGCCCCGGCUAACUCCGUGCCAGCCGCCGCAGUAA
rnacentral:rRNA from 1 species